rnacentral:rRNA from 1 species
UACGUAGGGGGCGAGCGUUGUCCGGAUUUAUUGGGCGUAAAGAGCUCGUAGGCGGUUCGAUAAGUCAGGUGUAAAAACUCCAGGCUCAACUUGGAGAGGCCACCUGAUACUGUCGUGACUAGAGUCCGGUAGAGGAGCACGGAAUUCCUGGUGUAGCGGUGAAAUGCGCAGAUAUCAGGAAGAACACCCGUGGCGAAGGCGGCUCUCUGGGACGGUACUGACGCUGAGACGCGAAAGCGUGGGGAGCGAACAGG